rnacentral:rRNA from 1 species
UGGGGAAUAUUGCACAAUGGGCGCAAGCCUGAUGCAGCAACGCCGCGUGAACGAUGAAGGUCUUCGGAUCGUAAAGUUCUGUUGCAGGGGAAGAUAAUGACGGUACCCUGUGAGGAAGCCCCGGCUAACUACGUGCCAGCAGCCGCGGUAAUACGUAGGGGGCUAGCGUUAUCCGGAUUUACUGGGCGUAAAGGGUGCGUAGGUGGUCCUUCAAGUCGGUGGUUAAAGGCUACGGCUCAACCGUAGUAAGCCGCCGAAACUGGAGGACUUGAGUGCAGGAGAGGAAAGUGGAAUUCCCAGUGUAGCGGUGAAAUGCGUAGAUAUUGGGAGGAACACCAGUAGCGAAGGCGGCUUUCUGGACUGCUACUGACACUGAGGCACGAAAGCGUGGGUAGCAAACAGG